rfam:Triticum aestivum genome assembly, contig: Triticum_aestivum_CS42_TGACv1_scaffold_321170_4BL
AACAUACUCCCUCCGUCCGAAAAUACUUGUCGGAGAAAUGCAUAAAAAUGGAUAUAUCGAGAACUAAAAUACGUCUAGAUACAUCCAUUCUUCCGACAAGUAUUUCCGGACGGAGGGAGUAUUUA